rnacentral:rRNA from 1 species
AACCCAACAGCUAGCCCAUCUUCUAAACCCAACACAUAAAUAUUACUAACCCCCAAUAGUCCUAACAGCAAAAAACAAACCAUUUUACCACCCUAGUACGGGAGACGGAACGGGAACUCUGGAGCGAUAGAGAAAGUACCGCAAGGGAACGCUGAAAGAGAAGUGAAACAAACCAGUAAAGUACAGAGAAGCAGAGCUAUACCCUCGUACCUUUUGCAUCAUGAUUUAGCAAGAUGCCCUCAAGCAAAGAGAACUUUAGUUUGUUUACCCGAAACUAGGUGAGCUACUCCAAGACAGCCUAACAGCAGGGCCAACCCGUCUCUGUGGCAAAAGAGUGGGAAGAGCUUCGAGUAGAGGUGACAGACCUACCGAACCUAGUUAUAGCUGGUUGCCCGGGAAAUGAAUAGAAGUUCAGCCCUUAGGCUCCUACAACUUCAACUGGCUAGACCUUAGCACAAGCAAAUAGGAACUUAAGGAGUUAGUCAAAGGGGGUACAGCCCAUUUGACCAAGGACACAACCUCAUCAGGAGGGUAAGGAUCAAACUUUGACAAGG